CCUACGGGAGGCAGCAGUGGGGAAUAUUGGGCAAUGGAGGAAACUCUGACCCAGCAACGCCGCGUGAAGGAUGAAGGUUUUCGGAUUGUAAACUUCUGUCGCGAGGGAUGAAGAAUGACGGUACCUCGUAAGAAAGCCCCGGCAAACUACGUGCCAGCAGCCGCGGUAAUACGGGGGGUGCAAGCGUUGUCUGGAAUCAUUGGGCGUAAAGAGUUCGUAGGCGGCACGUAAAGUCUGGUGUUAAAGGCAGAGGCUCAACUUCUGUACGGCACUGGAUACUUGCGAGCUAGAAUGCGGUAGAGGUAAAGGGAAUUCCUGGUGUAGCGGUGAAAUGCUUAGAUAUCAGGAGGAACAUCGGUGGCGUAAGCGCUUUACUGGGCCGUAAUUGACGCUGAGGAACGAAAGCCAGGGUAGCAAAUGGGAUUAGAUACCCCAGUAGUC
rnacentral:rRNA from 1 species